rnacentral:lncRNA from 1 species
CUGACCUGCGCUCUCUCCACUCAAUUCAGGGGAGGGAGGGGUUUAGGCCUGGGCUAAGAGAGCUGCACAUUUCCCAGGGCACAGUGAUUAGUUGAGGGUGGGUCCCAGAGCCAAAUCUGCCCAAGAUCUUAGCCUGAAAGAGAAACCCUCCUGCUGAGUGACUGCACUGUGAGGCAGAAGUCCAGAGCUGUGGGUGGCCAUCCAGCCUCCAUUUGCGCCUGCCUGAGAAAGAAGCCACCAUGGGGGAAAUCGAGCUAAAAGACGGAGAGGGAGGUAAGAGAGGAUGACAUCACAUAAGCACCAGAUCUGGCCACCCCUGAAACUGGAACAACCCUAAGCUUUACAGCUACUACAUUCCCUUUUCUGCUGAAGUUGUUUUACACUGGGUUUCUGUCUCUUGCAACCAAGAGCUCUGUUAAAUAAAAACCUGACCCUAAGGAGAACGUUAGCUGGUUCACAAUUCCCUGUGCAAAACAGGCACAGGUCAGCUGCCCCAGCCUGUCGUUUGGAUAUUCCUUUCUAAGAACGCUCACUUUUGUUGUCUACAUGACCCAGAUAACCAAGGAGAAAGCAAAUCAACCGCCUUCCAGCGGCGCCUUCCUUGGCAGCAAGUGCUAAGAGAGAACACAAUGUGAGUACUCUGCCCUCUGGAGUCAGGGUUGAUCCUCAGCACUUGCUGUCCUGGGAGGCUGCACCUGUGACACUUGAGUGCCAGGUUCAACCCCUACUGCUGCUGCUGCUGCCUGAAUGGGGCCAUUUAGACUGUUGAGUGCUACAGCCUCAGCCCAGGAACCCGGAGCUUCACAUGAGGCAGAGCAGGGCCCCAGGGUCCCUGAAACUUGCCAGUUCAAACAGCAGAGGGGUGAGGACUCCCCAGUCAGCCCUGGUCUCAUACCUGCCUCUGCAUGGUCCCAGUCCAGCCUGAGGCCUUUGCUUUCUUUUUUGAAGGGAAGGUGAGGAGAGAGGGGGAAAAUAGAGGUGUUCUGACUAGACUUAGGAUUCCUGGCCUCUGCCUCUGACCGCCAGAGGACAGCCUCUGCAGUUGCCUCAUCUACUCAUGAAAACAGGCCUGUGACCCCAGGGGUGCUCUGAGGAUUCUUCCAGAAAACAUCUGCCCAGCUAGGACUACCUAGCUCACUGCCCAAAAAGGGUUCAUUUCCUUUCCUUCUGAAACAAAAGCGCUUAAUUGGAAGAGAAGCAUUGACUCAAGCUAUAGGAUAUGCCACUUAAAAUGUCCAGAUCUUGGCACAAGGCCUGGCGCACAGUGUGGGAGAGAAGGAGAGAAGAAGGUGGAAGGAAAGGAGGGAGGGGAAAGAGGAAGCAGGGAGGGAGAAAAUAAGACAAGGGCCUCCUCAUCUGGAUGCUUCCCUAGACCAAGAAGUGGCCCAGGUGGUGCCCAGGGGACAGGGAGUGGGCAAUAAAAGACAAUGGGGUGUAGGUGAUAGGGUGUAGAUGAUCAGGGUAUAGGUGAUCAGGAUGUAGGUGAUGGGGUGUAGAUGACUGGGGUAUAGAUGAUUGAAGUGUAGGUGAUGGGGUAUAGAUGAUCGAGGUGUAGGUGAUGGGGUAUAGAUGAUUGAGGUGUAGGUGAUGGGGUGUAGGUGAUGGGGGUCAAGGUGAUCAAGGUGUAGGUGAUGGGGUGUUGGUGAUUGGGGUGUAGGUGAUCAGGGUGUAAGUGAUGGGGUAUAGGUGGUGGGGUGUAGAUGAUCGGGGUGUAGGUGAUGGGUAUAGGUGAUGGGGUAUAGAUGAUCAGGUUGUAGGUGAUCGGGGUAUAGGUGAUCAGGUUGUAGGUGAUGGGGUGUAGAUGAUUGGGAUAUAGAUGAUCGAGAUGUAGGUGAUGGGGUAUAGAUGAUCAAGGUGUAGGUGAUGGGGUAUAGAUGAUUGAGGUGUAGGUGAUGGGGUAUAGAUGAUCGAGGUGUAGGUGAUGGGGUAUAGAUGAUUGAGGUGUAGGUGAUGGGGUAUAGAUGAUUGAGGUAUCGGUGAUGGGGGUCAAGGUGAUCAAGGUGUAGGUGAUGGGGUGUUGGUGAUUGGGGUGUAGGUGAUCAGGGUGUAAGUGAUGAGGUAUAGGUGAUGCAGUGUAGGUGAUCAGGGUAUAGGUGAUGAGGUGUAGGUGAUGGAGUGUAGAUGAUUGAGGUGUAGGUGAUGGGGUAUAGGUGAUUGGGGUGUAGGCAAUGGGGUGUAGGUGAUUGGGGUGUAGGCAAUGGGGUGUAGGUGAUUGGGGUCAAGGAGAUAGAGGUGUAGGUGAUGGGGUGUUGGUGAUUGGGGUGUAGGUGAUCAGGGUGUAGGUGAUUGGGGUGUAGGUGAUCGGGGUGUAGGUGACCAGGGUAUAGGUGAUCAGGGUGUAGGUGAUGGGAUGUAGGUGAUCAGGGUCAAGGUGAUUGAGGUGUAGGUGAUGGGAUGUUGGCAACCAGGGUGUAGGUGAUCAGGAUGUAGGUGAUGGGGUGUAGACGAUCAGGGUGUAGGUGAUGGGCUGUUGCUGACCAGGGUGUAGGUGAUCAGGGUGUAGGUGAUCCGAACUUCCUACUCAAUUCAGGCAACAGCUCCCAGCCUGAGGCAAAUACCCCCCGAGGCAGUCAGGGUCUCACCUCCCAUGGCUCUGACGCAGGCCUCCAAGGUGAGGAGAUGGAGGUAGCAGAGGUCACUUCACUCAGCUGUCACACACCCUGAGGGAACUCCUGUCACUGUUAUCCCACCUGCAAGUGAGGAGCCAGCAUUUCUCAUGCUCCAGGGUUGGCCACAGAGCCCAUUCAAGGGAGGGAGAAGAGCCUUCGGCCAGCGCAUCCUAACCGCAGAAAGCCAAGACCUCUGCAGAAAAAGAGACCAGGCCCAUAAAAAGAGAUCCAUGAGUUGAGUUCCCUGCCAUGCCACCCCCAGGCAUCUCUGCCCACCAGCCUGCAUGAGCCAGCCCCUCAGUGCAGGUUUUUCCAAUUGGCCGUUUGUUCUUCCACCCAACACUCAAGAUUUGCUUCUCAGCCUGGACAACAUAGCAAAACCCCAUCUCUACAAAAAAUACAAAAAUUAGCUGGGCAUAGUGGCACACACCUAUAGUCCCAGCUACUCGGGAGGCUGAAGUGGGAAGAUUACCUGAGCCUGGGAGGUCAAGGUUGCAGUGAGCCAUGAUCAUGCCACUGUACUCCAGCCUGGGUGACAGAGUGAGAACUUGUCUCAAAAACAAAAAAAGAGAGGAAGAUCUGCUUCUUCAAACCCACACAACUAAUAUAAAGUAAUCAACCUCCCCACCUCAAUAACCUGAAGUUAAACAUCACACAAUAAGCCCUGAACAGAGAGCUGUAGGUCAAUGUUCCAUUUUGCUUUUAAAAGCUUCACAAGAACAUUUCAUUUAUUAAAAUAGUUUCUGUAAACUCUUUCAGAAUAACAAAAUUCACUUGCCUUGCUUAAACAGCAUUUCAAGUAGAAGUAUUUUUAUUUCAAGGCACCAUAAAAUGAUGAUCUCUCUAAGAAAUACCUCUCCUUC